rnacentral:lncRNA from 1 species
GAGAGUGUAUAGGUAUGGGACUAUAAAGUUGAAGGAUAGCUUAAAGGAAUUGAUUUGACUACUCAUAUCAACAAAUGCAUUUGCUUUUCGGUAGCCUAACUCAUAAGAACUCCAUGGUUAAGCGUGCUUAGCCUAGAGUAAUUAUGGGAUGGGUGACCUUUCGGGAAGUUUUCUUGGUAAGUGUGUGAGUGAGGACAAAUCACACUGGAAAGCCUCGUGUUGAUGUGUGGGGGCAGUCAACAGUCCCUGUAAGUUGCCGGGACGUUAGAAAUGGUAUUAGAGCCUAGCCUCUCCCAGUACGGUGUGGUUCGAGGACGAACCAGACGAAAGCUGGUGGGCAUGUGACACCCGGGCACUAACGAGGGUGGGGAGUGAUCGCCGGUGCAAGAAGCGAGUGGAAGGGGCACAUGGACGAAUCGAACAUACACCGGAAUGAGAAAGAUCUAGAGAGUGUAUAGGUAUGUGACUAUACAGUUGAAGGAUACCAUAAAGGAAUUGAUUUGACUACUCAUAUCACCAAAUGCAUUUGCUUUUAAAUAUAGGUUGACCCCCACUCUCACGUCGCUAUCAUGCAUCUGGAGUAUCUGUUACACCC